rnacentral:rRNA from 1 species
AUACGUAGGUGACAAGCGUUAUCCGGAUUUACUGGGCGUAAAGGGCGUGUAGGCGGUCUUGCAAGUCAGAAGUGAAAUUCCUGAGCUCAACUCGGGCGCUGCUUCUGAAACUGCAGGACUUGAGUGCUGGAGGGGAUAGCGGAAUUCCUAGUGGAGCGGUAAACUGUGCAGAUAUUAGGAAGAACACCGGUGGCGAAGGCGGAUAUCUGGACAGUAACUGACGCUGAGGCGCGAAAGCGUGGGGAGCAAACAGGAUUAGAUACCCUGGUAGGCCACGCCGUAAACGAUGAAUACUAGGUGUAGGGGGUAUCGACUCCCUCUGUGCCGCAGUUAACACAAUAAGUAUUCCGGCUGGGGAGUACGGCCGCAAGAUUGAAACUCAAAGGAAUUGACGGGG